rnacentral:lncRNA from 1 species
GCCAACUAACAUUGUGAUCUCUACAGGUCAGCAUUAAGUCCAAACGUUUUUAGAAGAGCUAAGCCUGCAGGACUUCCGAGAGCCAUAGAGUUUCACCUCAAGAGUACAGUGACAACCCAGUAUCUAACUCACACAAAGUAGGAGAAAAUCCUUGAUAAAUAUUUAACAACUGAGCAAGUGAAUGAAUAUUAAUGAUGAUCCAAAGCCUACACCAAAACUUUAAGUGACAAAAAGGUAAUUUCAGUCCCCCAGAGGAGGAGUAGAAACCGCACAGCAC